GACGAACGCUGGCGGCGUGCUUAACACAUGCAAGUCGAGCGGUAAGGCCCUUUCGGGGGUACGACGAGCGGCGAACGGGUGAGUAACACGUGGGUGACCUGCCCUCAGCUCUGGGAUAAGCCCGGGAAACUGGGUCUAAUACUGGAUAUGACUCCAUGACGCAUGUUGUGGGUGGAAAGCCUUGUGCGGCUGGGGAGUGGGCCCGCGGCCUAUCAGCUUGUUGGUGGGGUGAUGGCCUACCAAGGCGACGACGGGUAGCCGGCCUGAGAGGGCGACCGGCCACACUGGGACUGAGACACGGCCCAGACUCCUACGGGAGGCAGCAGUGGGGAAUCUUGCGCAAUGGGCGAAAGCCUGACGCAGCGACGCCGCGUGAGGGAUGACGGCCUGUGUAAC
rnacentral:rRNA from 1 species